rnacentral:lncRNA from 1 species
GCUGUGAACGACGCUCGGGUGCUCCACGGCGCGCUGAAGAGCCUCGACCCCUCGACUGUCCUGACUGUCCCCUCGAAUACUUUGGCGGUCUCCUGAAGGACUGCUGACCACUGCUCUCAGCUGCUGGUCUCUUUCCCUUGCCUCGAUCCACAACGUCUCUUUCCUUCAUGAUUUCCGCCCCUUUCUCAACGAUCAAGGCCCGGUUCACUACAUCCCGGUAAGUAGAGAGGUUUGACGCCUGGACCAAUCUGAAAAUCGCAGGUCGCAAACCCACCUCAAAAAUACGGGCCUUGUCCUCAUCAUCACGAACCACAAAAGGAACACAGUGUAGUAAUCGUGAGAACUCUCGCUCAUACUCAGCCACUGUCCUGUCCCCCUGUCUCAGGUUUCUCAAAUCCCUUUCCAUCUGCCUCUUUACACUCUGAGGAAAAUAGGUAGUCAACAAUAGUUCCUUGAACCUGUCCCACGUGAUAGCAGGCAAAUCAGCACGGGGAUCCUCCCGGAUAUCCACCCACCACCUGUAAGCCUCGCCGUCAAGGUGGUGUGUCGCAAACCAAACCCGGUACCGCUCCUCCACAAAGGUAUCGUAGAAUAGCUUUUCCAUGUGCAUCAGCCAUUUCUCGACCACCCAGUGAUCUGCCUUCUCCCCGUCAAAGACACGAGGGUUGCAACGACGAAAUUCAUUCAGUCGUUCCAUCAUCCGCUCUCGCUCCUCAACCCCUACCAUCUCUGGUAACACUGUCCCUGAUGUCGCUACAGGUACUGGUGAUGGUGCUACUGUCUGCAGUCGGGGCUCUACCCUCGGAACUACUGGGGGUGUGUCUGGUACAGGUGACUGUGCUCUCACUGUCGUAUCCCUAUCUGGUACUGUAGGUAUAGGAUCAGGAAUCUCUCUGUCAGUCGUCUGCUGCAGUAGUAGAUCCUCUAACCUCUUCAUUCUGUCCUCCUGCCGACGCGCAGCGUCCAUCUGCUGUCGUGCUGCCGCGGCCUGCUGAGUAACCAACUCUGUCAACGUCGCAAGCUGAUCCUGCAACUCAUGGAGCUCACUGGACCCCGAAGUGACGGAAGUCUCAACUUCGUCCGCAGCGGCUGCCUCAGCCGCCCCGGCGGUUCCAGAACGAGUCGUAGGCAUCUUGCACUGUAACACAAAAACAAACAUAGGUCAAUAAACCCUAUACUAUUGAACCCUCAUUGAGGAUAUAAACCAACUAAUUAAGCGAAAGUAAUGAAAUGUAACGCGUACUAACUUCCGAUGUCACGUUGUCGGCCGCCAACGUGACCCUCUGCAAAGUUAGUAAUUGCACAUUCCGAUCAAACUCCUACCAUUCGGAGUUUAUAAAUACCCAAUCAAAGUACUUUCGCUAACAACAACCUCAACUAGACUGCGUCUCUCACGAGCCUAUUCUUAUAGUCCAACCAGCCUAAGGUUUGCUAGGUCUACUAAGACUCAACCCUAGGCUCUGAUACCACUAUAAUCUGUCACGCCCGGGUACCAGCGGAAGAAUAUCCGGCACGUGCACAGACCCGCCAUACACCUGCAGUAUAUAAGGCGUCUACAAGAACACAAGUCGAUAGGAGAAAAGUAUAGUAAAAUCCUAUCCUGAUAUCAGAGCAAAGUACAAGUCAAAAUACUAUCAGAAAAAGGGCAAAGAGUAUACAAUCCAAAAUCUCAGCAAAAAGGAGAAGAGAUCACAACUAUAGUAUCUGGUCCAAACAGUAAAUAUACAUCAUGGGUAUACAAAAAUAACUAGGUACAACGGUGGUCUCUCUAUACAUAGGGACAUCACCCUCGGCCGUAGCCCGAGUAGCAAGGUGAUUGACUAGCACGCUCCUAGUAGUCCCUAGCUAGGCGCGACUCCCUUGCCACGAUCCCUAGUCUCUCCUGUACUAGGCUCUGUAAAAACAACCACCAAAAGGGCGUGAGAACUAUAAACAAUAGUUCCCAGUGGGUAAGCCGCCAGCCUCGGCGAAUUACACCACUAGGCUCAUGAUGUACUAAAUGGAAAUAAAAGCAGUAAUUUGCAUGAUAUAUUUUCAAUGCUAACAAGUAAUGAACAUGUAAGCAACAUGUAAUCAUAAUCUCAACAGUAAUGAAUCAACUGAAUGGUAGAAGCAUGGCAACUACUAUAAGCACGAACAUAAGCAUAAAUGUGUAAGUACUACUGUACACUGUAACUAGUAAGCAUUCAUUACUGUCCUUUGUCAUUUAGUACUUUCACAUCAAUAGAGUUUUACUUUCAUUCACAGGGAUCUACUCAAGGUAGUCCAGCUUGCGCCGCGCCUAAUGGCCCCGUGGUAGUAUACACUCCCCACGGCAAUCCACUUCGGCACCCAAUCCCGCACGGGCGAGCAACUGUCGCGUAGGCCAACUCCGGAGUGCCGGCUUGUAGGGAGCUACCCUCACAAGCGUGUGCGAAUGAGCACAAUGGCAAGCAAGCAAGGUCCACAGUCCAACAUGUCUCAAUUAUUAUAAUUUCAUUUGCAAUGUUCUCGGUCUCGAUCCUCGAUCGGAAUUUCAAUAUAACAAAUAUGAACAAUAACUAGAAUCCACUAGUUUAGUAAGCAUGUAAGAGUAAUGCUAAUUUACAGGCAUUAGAAUCUUUUCACUAUCAUGGCACUACCAACGUAGUCCCAAAGCAUGUCACGGUUCUCUACUUUAGAGUCAAUAUCAUUAUUUUCUACUUUACAAAAACAUAAUUAUCAUGUCCAUUGGUUAUUCAACUGAACUAAAGAUAAACAUAAACAUAAGCAUAAAUACUGUUAUGCAUAAAUUCUCUCUACUUCAUAGAGAUUCUAGUCAAUGUUAUGGCAAAGAAGUUCCAAAGAACCAUAUAGUGACAAUAUCGCACAACUAUAUCAAUUCGAUACAUAUAGAACAUAGGGGAGCUUCACUUGCUCUGGUUAGGUCAAACCCACCUCGUACUAGGUUCCAAAGAAGUUUACAAGGGUCCCAAAAUCAGCCCCACGAAGUCACACUCCUGCUGAAAAUAAGGCAUCAAAGCCGAGUCAAAAUGACGACCGAAUGUCCGAUUUCGGCCUAAUUUACACAUAGUACAAAGUAACCCCUUGAAUCCCAAUUCUGGGUUAGUGUUUUACCUCAAGAGAAGUUGCCAAAAAGCCCUCCGAUGCCAGUCGAAGAUGGUCCAAGGGUCAAUUACCCUUUCGCUGCGAACAUGAUCAAAACGGCGUCAAAAUCAUUGACUACCAAUAAAUAUUGCCGGAAACUUGCGAUUUCAGUUUUCUAACUGAAGUUCUAGCUUACCCUUAGUUAGAAUACCCUCCAAACCAGAUCCCCAGGUCCUCAAUUUAGUUAAAUGAUACUUGGAAACCUGCUGCGACAAAAAACGACCUCAAACUGCGUCAAUUAUUCGAUUAGGUCGCAUAAGGGUCCGAAAUAGUUUAAUAGUUGACUAAAUACCUGUCUCAAGCCUCAAGGCAACUUUUCCCUGGAUCAAAGUGGUUAAAUCACAGCUAGAUAUCUCCUUUCUAGCUGCAGGAACCCCUGACAAACACUGCUGGAAGCAACGGAUCAAGAACGCGUCAAUAUCCGUCGAUAAACCACAAACUAGAGAGAAAUUGAGCUAAAUACUUCUCUAAAGUUCUCUUUCAGCAACUCUCAGCAGUAGACAUGAAAAACACUGUCAAAACACAUCCCUUUACCUUUUAAAAGCUAGCCCCAAGUCCACCCAACCAGCGAGCAACGAGCGCGGCGUGAAAUUGGCGCAAAACGGCGACUUUCAUCUAGAGAGAGAAAAACCCUAGAGAGAGAGAGAGAGGAAGGUGGAAGAACAACCUCCUGAGCUCCAGCAACCCUUACUGAGCUCCCAGAGUCGUGCUGGGAUCAAAUAGGUGAGAGCAAGAUGUGAAAUUACCGAAAUACCCAAGCUGCCACGUUUCUGCAUUGUGUACCGGUACACCAUAAUGGCUGUACCGGUACACCAAGCAGAAAAUGCUGAUUUCGCCCAAUCAAUGCACUUUCUUGCUUUUAGCCAUCCAAUCACUCUCAAACUUGUCCAAAAACUUGUCUAAGUCCUUUAGAACAUGUAGGAUAAUUCCCCAUUGCAUUCCUCACUCUCGAACUCCGCAAAUUGCUGAAGUUCAGUAUACUAUAAUACAGUAAGUUCAGGAAUCGCUUCGACGACGCACUUUCUUGCAUCCAAAAGUUUAAUAGCUCUCAAAAUUGGCCCAAAACCACCUUUACAACAAUUAGAACUUGUGGGCACAUGCCACUUCUCAACCCCACUUUCCAACUUCACCAAUUGUAAAGUUCAAGGUAUUACAUUCACCCCUCCUAACAAGAAGUUUCGUCCGCGAAACUUGUAAACACUUACCUCAAGAUUCUGUCGAGAAAAGAUAGGGGUGGUGCUCUUGUAUCACACUCUCCAGUUCCCAAGUGGCUUCUCGUUCCUCGUGAUUGCUCCAAAGGAUUUUCACGUAGGGUAUCUCGCGAUUUCGAAGCCUUUUCACUUCUCGAGCUAAUAUCCUCACCGGAUGCUCCUCAAAACUCAAAUCUUCAUGCAACUCUACUGGAAUACUCUCCAGUACGUGGGUUGGAUCAAAAACAUAUCUCCGAAGUGUUGACACAUGAAAUACAUUAUGCACUCCUGAUAGGUUCGGCGGCAAGGCAAGCCGAUACGCUACGGGGCCUAUCCGCUCCAACACCUCGUAGGGUCCAAUAAAUCGAGGACUCAACUUUCCUCGAAUGCCAAAUCUCUUAACUCCUUUCGUCGGGGAAACCUUUAGGAAUACAUGAUCGCCAACUUGAAAUUCCAAUUCUCGCCGACGUUUAUCCGCAUAACUCUUUUGUCGACUUUGAGCUGUCAGUAGACGUUCUCGAGCAAGUCGAACUUUAACUUCAGCCUCUUGUAGUACAUCUGGACCCAAAACCAAUCUCUCACCCACUUCACUCCAAUGAAGUGGUGAUCUGCACUUUCUACCAUAAAGGGCUUCAAACGGUGCCAUCUGAAUACUUGCAUGAUAGCUAUUGUUAUAAGCAAAUUCAGCCAUAGGCAAGAACUGGGGCCAACUGCCCUGGUAGUCAAUCACACAGGCUCGCAACAUAUCUUCAAGGGUUUGGAUAGUACGCUCAGACUGCCCAUCACUCUGGGGGUGGAAAGCAGUACUAAAAUCCAAUCGAGUACCCAAGGCCUCCUGUAAACUCUUCCAGAAAUGUGAAACGAAUCGGGUGUCUCGAUCUGAAACAAUCGAAGCAGGUACUCCAUGUAAUCGUACAAUUUCAUCAAGAUACACUUGUGCGAGUCUUUCCCCCGACCACACUGUAUGAAUUGGAAUAAAGUGGGCAGAUUUAGUUAAUCUAUCCACAAUUACCCAAAUCGCGUCAUGUCCUGCCUGCGAGCGAGGUAAUCCAACAAUGAAAUCCAUAGUGAUUCUUUCCCACUUCCACACUGGUAUGGGUAAGAAGUCGAUGUUCAGCUUUAACCUGCUGACACGUUAAACACUUAGCCACAAAGUCUGCAACAUCCUUUUUCAUCCCAGGCCACCAAUAAGUUAACUUCAAAUCCUUAUACAUUUUCGUACUCCCAGGAUGUACAGUAUACGGCGCCCGAUGUACUUCUGCAAGAAUCUCUUCUUUCAUACCAGAAUCUGCCGGUACACAGAGCCUAUCACCGAACUUUAAUAAUCCCCGAUCAUCUACGUGAAACUCACUAUCAUGAUCAACAGUGAUCUUAUCUCGAAUCUUCUGCAGGAAUUCAUCUUGAAUUUGCUUUUCUUUAAUUCGAUCGCUCAGGGUAGGCUGCACCACUAAUGACAUAAGUCUCCAAGGCGUAUCAGGAGCUACAACUUCCAAAUUUAAUUGCUCCAUUUCCUUUACCAACAGGGAUUGCAUUGUUAUCGACAUCGCCAAAUUUUCCGUCGAUUUUCGACUUAAAGCAUCUGCUACAACAUUAGCUUUUCCUGGAUGAUAGAGAAUGGUCAAAUCAUAAUCCUUGAGCAACUCCAACCAUCUACGUUGCCAAGUUUAAUUCCUUUUGAGUAAACAGAUACUUUAGGCUUUUAUGAUCUGUAUACACUUCGCAACGCUCGCCGUAGAGGUAAUGGCGCCAAAGCUUUAAAGCAAACACCACCGCUGCUAACUCAAGAUCAUGUGUAGGGUAGUUCUUUUCAUAAUCCUUUAAUUGGCGAGAAGCAUAGGCAAUUACUCUGCCAUUUUGCAUUAGAACACACCCUAAUCCAUUCAGUGACGCAUCGCUGUAAAUCACAUAAUCCACUCCAGUAACAGGUAGUGCUAAAAUCGGGGCGGUCGUCAACCGUUCCUUCAGCUCCUGAAAGCUUCUUUCACAGGCUUCAUUCCACAGGAAUUUAGCUCCUUUAUGUGUGAGUCGAGUGAGAGGAGUGGACAUCUUCGCAAAUCCUUCUACAAAUCUUCGGUAGUAUCCCGCCAAACCAAGGAAACUCCGAAUUUCAGUGACACUGGUCGGCCUAGGCCAAUCUUUAAUCGCUUCAAUCUUCUUGGGAUCCACAGCUAUCCCAGUUUCAGAAAUCACAUGACCCAGAAAUGCCACUUCUUGAAGCCAAAAUUCGCAUUUCUUUAACUUGGCAAAUAAUUCCUUUUCUCGGAGUACUUGUAACACCACUCUCAAAUGGUCUUCAUGCUCCUUGUCACUUCGAGAAUAGAUCAAGAUGUCAUCAAUAAACACUACCACGAAUCUAUCCAAAUAGGGCUUAAAGACACGGUUCAUUAAAUCCAUAAAGGCUACUGGGGCAUUAGUCAAUCCAAAUGGCAUGACUGUAAAUUCAUAAUGCCCAUACCGUGUUCUAAAAGCAGUUUUAGAGACAUCUUCAGGCUUGAUCUUAAGCUGAUGGUAACCAGAUUGCAAAUCAAUCUUGGAAUACACCUUCGAUCCUUGCAGCUGAUCAAAUAAGUCAUCAAUUCUGGGCAAUGGAUAUUUGUUCUUGAUUGUGACUUUGUUGAUUUCUCGAUAAUCCACGCACAAUCGAAGAGAUCCAUCUUUCUUCUUGACAAAUAACACCGGUGCUCCCCAAGGCGAUACACUCGGUCGAAUAAAUCCUUUGUCUAAAAGAUCUUGUAAUUGUGCCUUCAGCUCUUUUAACUCAGCGGGUGCCAUUCUAUAGGGUGCUUUAGAAAUAAGAGUUGUCCCAGGGACAAGAUCAAUCACAAACUCCACUUCCCUCUCAGGUGGCAUGCCCGGCAACUCAGCUGGAAACACAUCCCCGAAUUCUCGCACAACUGGAAUAUCAUCAAUCUUGACGAUUUUUCCGUCACUCACAGAAAUGCUAGCCAAAAAGGCUACACAACCUCUCCGUAUCAACUGUCGGGCUCGCGAAGAGCUAAUAGUCAUUGCGAACAAUGAACUCUGGCACCCUUUAUAAACAAACUCUUGCUGACCCGGUUCCCUAAAGGUUACCGUUCUGUUCGUGCAAUCAAUAGUGGCAUAGUACUGUGUCAACCAAUCCAUACCCAAUACUACAUCAAACUCACCUAGUUUGUGUAGUGCCAAUAAAUCUACUGGCAUAAUCCAGUCGCCUACCCUAACUGGGCAGCGAGGGCAAAACUCACGAACAUCUAGGGUAUGGUCAGGUACAAUUACGCGUCCCGGAUGCAAAGUAGGUGCUAAAGAAAUGCUAUGCAACUCGGCGAACUGCCGAUCAAUAAAAGAAUGCGAAGCACCAGUAUCAAAUAAUGCACGAACACGAAUAGCAUAAAGCAUAAUAAUACCUGCUACGACCUCCUAUGCUGCUGCGGCGCCCUCGGUCUGGGCGGCAUACAUCCGCCCACUCGAACCCUGCUGCGAACUCUCCGACUGCCGCUGUCCUGGUGGUCGCCUAGACUGAUAAGGCGCUGUCGGGGUCCCCUGGCUCGGAGCUGAAGAUGUAAGUGCAGUAGCUGACGAGGGUGUCGGCAAAGAACCUCUCGGACACUCUGACCGAAAGUGGCCCUCCUGGCCACAAAGAAAGCACCUGCCCCCACGCUGUGGACACUGUGGCGGUACAUGAGGCCCACCACAGAUAACACAACGUGGCUGUGAACGACGCUCGGGUGCUCCACGGCGCGCUGAAGAGCCUCGACCCCUCGACUGUCCUGACUGUCCCCUCGAAUACUUUGGCGGUCUCCUGAAGGACUGCUGACCACUGCUCUCAGCUGCUGGUCUCUUUCCCUUGCCUCGAUCCACAACGUCUCUUUCCUUCAUGAUUUCCGCCCCUUUCUCAACGAUCAAGGCCCGGUUCACUACAUCCCGGUAAGUAGAGAGGUUUGACGCCUGGACCAAUCUGAAAAUCGCAGGUCGCAAACCCACCUCAAAAAUACGGGCCUUGUCCUCAUCAUCACGAACCACAAAAGGAACACAGUGUAGUAAUCGUGAGAACUCUCGCUCAUACUCAGCCACUGUCCUGUCCCCCUGUCUCAGGUUUCUCAAAUCCCUUUCCAUCUGCCUCUUUACACUCUGAGGAAAAUAGGUAGUCAACAAUAGUUCCUUGAACCUGUCCCACGUGAUAGCAGGCAAAUCAGCACGGGGAUCCUCCCGGAUAUCCACCCACCACCUGUAAGCCUCGCCGUCAAGGUGGUGUGUCGCAAACCAAACUCGGUACCGCUCCUCAACAAAAGUGUCAUAAAAUAGCUUCUCCAUAUGCAUUAACCAUUUCUCAACCACCCAAUGAUCCGCCUUCUCCCCGUCAAAGAUACGAGGAUUGCAGCGACGGAAUUCAUUCAGUCGCUCCAUCAUCCGCUCUCGCUCCUCAACCCCCACCAUCUCGGGUAACACUGUCCCAGCUGCUGCUACAGGUACUGGUGGUGGUACUACUGUCUCCUGUCGGGUCUCUGCCCUCGGAGCUACUGGGGGUGUGUCAAGUACAGGUGACUGUGCUCUCACUGUGGUGCCCCUCUCCGGUGCUAUAGGUACAGA